rnacentral:tRNA from 1 species
AUUCAUAUAAUUUAAAGAAAAAGAAUAUUGUGUUGAAGUUACAAAAGAAGAAGCAAUUCUUGUGAAUA